UUUCACCUUGAUUGGUGCCUCCAAAUAUGUUUCAAGAUCAGUUUCAUCCUCACUUAUUGUUGGAGGCAGAAAGAAGACAACUAAGACCUAUUAUCGAGAACAAGUCAGGGAUAGUUCUUGUGCAUACAACAUCAGGAUACAAUUGAAAGAAGAAGUAAAGCACCUCAAAAGCAUGCUUGAACAACAAGCUAUUCAAAUGGCAGAACAAAGAAGACAUUUUGAGGAACAACAAGCUAGUCAAAUGGCAGAACAAAGAGCACAUUAUGACAAUACGAUGAUGCAAAUGUUGAGUUAUAUCACCUCGCAAUCAGCCCAAUCUAGUAGUGAUCACUAAGAUUUUUUUUGCUUCAAGGUUGGAUAUACCCAGUGCUUGGCAAUUGCUGUAGAAACUUGAGGGCACCCAUAAUGGCUAAAAUGUUCAAUUGUACUAGCUGAUAACUUCUUGCUUUGGAGAUGAUGAUGAAGAAUAAAAUGUAUCAAAACUUUUAACUAUGAGACAGAUUUGGUCUUUGUACAAAUUGUGGUUGUUGAUAUCUUUUCUCUUAAACAAUAAUUGACAUAUCGGCAGUUUGUAUGUGGCCCCUAAUUUGUUAAUUUGUAGGUUUGAGUUUAGAGAUCAAAGAAAGUGUAAUUGUAGCAAUAUACCACUUUUGCUAUACAUCAAUAUCAUAACAUAUCAUCUCAACAA